rnacentral:rRNA from 1 species
UACGGAAGGCAGCAGUGGGGAAUAUUGCACAAUGGGCGCAAGCCUGAUGCAGCCAUGCCGCGUGUAUGAAGAAGGCCUUCGGGUUGUAAAGUACUUUCAGCGGGGAGGAAGGCGAUGCGGUUAAUAACCGCGUCGAUUGACGUUACCCGCAGAAGAAGCACCGGCUAACUCCGUGCCAGCAGCCGCGGUAAUACGGAGGGUGCAAGCGUUAAUCGGAAUUACUGGGCGUAAAGCGCACGCAGGCGGUCUGUUAAGUCAGAUGUGAAAUCCCCGGGCUUAAACCUGGGAACUGCAUUUUGAAACUGGCAGGCUUGAGUCUUGUAGAGGGGGUAGAAUUCCAGGUGUAGCGGUGAAAUGCGUAGAGAUCUGGAGGAAUACCGGUGGCGAAGGCGGGCCCCUGGACAAAGACUGACGCUCAGGUGCGAAAGCGUGGGGAGCGAAACAGGAUUAGGAUACC